UUACAGCCUGUAGAAGUUAGCGACAUCUAGUAGUGAGGUUGUAUCAUGGUAAAUCUGUAAAUUUGUCUACUGUGUGCUAAUAUUAAACAAUGUAACAUUUGGCUGUCUUUGCAGAAACAAUAAUAGUAAUAAUUUUACACAGUAAAAUUAGUUUCUAAUCAUUUCUGUGCUGUUUGACACUGUGUUUAGUUUUCUCACAUUUAUUUUUCUCUCUGUUUGUAAAUACUCCAAGUGAAUUUAAGUCGCUUUAACAUGAAGAUUACAGGGUACACUUAGAAAAACUAAAAGUAAUUUGAUUAACCGAAAGCAGUUAUUCCCAGAAUAACAGUGGAGCAUAUACGAUUUGGACAAAAAUACAACUUUUAUCCACAAAAUAAUAUGUAACUUUUGUUACCACCUCCAUUGUGCCCUUGUGUACAUUUUAAAGUAUUGGAUGUACAAAAUUGUUGCAAAAUAAAUUUAAAAAAAAUGUGUAAAAGGCUGUGGCGUAUUGUACUCUCUACAAUCAGAAUUAGGCACACAUGUUGUCUUCACCUCUAACUGCAAGGAACAUUUACUUUAAGUAUGUUCCCUUUAUGUUAUACUUUUAAAUAAUAUUGUUCUAAUCAUUUAUUUAAAACUGAUAAUGUGCAGUUUUGUUUGAAAAUAUUAAAUCCAAACAGAUCUAUUAGCACCAAGAAAAAUGUUCCACUCUUGCUCUUACAUAUUUUAAACACCAGGGGCGCACGAUAGAGGGUCCUAUGUUGGUACAGCUGCACAAGCCAUGUCACUUGUACAAAGUUGUUUUUGGCUUAUCUCACAGAGUCAAUAUUUAGUGUCGGUGUCAGAAUUACUGGACACUGAGUCAAAGUUUAUGAAUGAAAUGGUCGAAAGGUUCAGUGUUGACAACACACAUAACCAGGUCAAAGUAUCAGUGAGUAUUACUGCAGCUAACGUUGUCAUAACACUAUCAUGAGUCAGCGGCUUUUCUGUUGGCCAUAUCAACACUGAGCUGCUGCCUGUUACUGUUGGUGAGAGACUGAUAACACAGGACUGGACUGGAUCUGCAGUCAAUGCUUCGUUGAAGGUGGAGCUCUGGUAAUCAUUAUUGGAGUUUAUUGUCACAUAAAAUAAUACACUAACACAGAUAAGAAGCUGUGCUCUGUUUGCACAUGUUAGUUGACUGUUGUUUUUUUUACUAAUAAUGUAAAAAUGAUUAAAUAGUGUGUAGAAUAUAUACAACAUAUACAGGUUUUGCAGGUCACUUCCUAAGUAAGCAUGACAAAAAUAAUUUACAUAUAACAAGAAAAAAAAUUUAGCCUGAAGAGGGCAGUAAACAGAGCCUCAGAAUCUGACUGAUUUAAAGCAGUUUUGUGAGUAAGAGUGGGCAACAAUAGUUGUUCAUUUUAUAUCUCAGGGUCACGGGGCAAAAUCAGCAUACAACCAGGUCAGACAGCCAGUCCAGCAGAGGGCCACAUACACACACAAACAGCCAUUCACACCGACAUUUAUAUCCACAGUCAACGCCAGAAUGUAACAAACUGUGACUCUCAAACACAGACAGGUUGUUUCCAGGAUGUAAAAUUGCCUGCUGUGAUAAAUACGGCAAAACUGAGUUUUGUUUUGAUUCCCCUCGGGGCUUCGGAGGUAUUAGUGGAGAGGUUUUUAAUAUAUUAAUGCCAUGGUGGCUGCAGGGCUUUGACAUUGACGCACACUGUGAAUCUGACUCUUGUUUGCUGUCUGGUCUGGUUCAGAUAAAUAGUAAACAUAGUGUAACGUAUAACCAGGUUCAUCCAGUCCACUCUGCACACGCUUGUCAUCCAGACCCUGACGACAGUUAAUGCCUAACUGUGUUAUCUUGGCACAGUCUGUGUUAUUAUAAACAGUGUUGAGGUCUCUGUAUAAAGGAUGGAUUUCUGUUUUCUUAAUCAUUUAAAAGCAAAAUGAGAAGAACCAAUCAUGUGCUUCAUACCUUAUUUUCCUGAUAUCCAAAGUCCAUGGACCAGUUUAAAUGUCACACAAACUUCAGGAAGAGAAUUCUAAUUUAACACUUCUCUUACAUAAGCUGUUGUUGUCAUAAGCUACGACAACAACUACAUAUCUUUUUCCCCCCAUUAACCUUAAGCCUUUUUCACUUCUUCUAAAUUUAGGAACACAAAAUUUAAAAAAAAAAGCCAAAAGUAAAUUUUGGUAUCAUCUAGGCAUUUUGCAAAAUUAUUAAUUAGUUUUCUACCUGUAAAAACCUUUAUGUAAAAUUUUUAGAUAUUUUUCCAACUUGGAUUUUUAUUCACGUCAUGAUGUUUCUCUCUGUGUAAGACUGGGGUGUAAUGGCCUCAGGAAGAUUCGGAAAGACUAAACCAUAAGAGUCGGACACAGCUGCUGGUUCUGAGUCUGUGGAUGUGGUGUUGAAACAAAGCCGUGUUCUGGUCUGAAGUGGAAGACAAGAAGACAAGGUUUGGCUGCGGUCCAGCCAGGCCACAUCCUGUGGACAGCCGCCAGCAGCAGCAGCAGCAGCAGCAGCAGCCGCAGGAGCGCGGCAUGUUUCCUUUUAGGAGAUGGGGACCAAAACAGGGAGAUCGUCACCAGCUGUGGAUUUGUUGUUCAGAUUCAUGUCCAAAGGCUCAUUCAUGUUAUAAGGAUUUCCCCUUCCUCUGAGACAAACCCCAGAAUUCAUUUUUGUUGCUCCGGUAGCUGUGAAUGACAGCACCUCCUGGCUGCACCUGGUGGGACUUCAGGUUGAGACUAUGAGACCUGGCUGCUUCCACGAUGACGUGUGAGUCUGUGUGUUAGAGAAACACGCGUGUCUGAAGGUUCCAUUCCCAGGUGGUAUUUCUGUGUAUUAUUCUACUGAACUUCACUGUUACAUUUUCUACCCACCACUGGAACUGCUGGUGUGUGUUCAUGUGUGUGUGUGUAUCGUUCCUCGAGUCUGAUUGGCAGUUUAGUUGCCAACCCUGUGACUCACACUUGUCCCAUGUGACAAGAACAAACACCCAGUACAAAUAAAACAAGGCACAGCGUGGAGUAAGUUAUUGUAAAAUUAUAUUAACAAGCAAUCUUUCCUCAAUUUGAAAUAAAAAAAUAUCAGCAAAUAAAGGCAACAUAGGACAGAUGUUUAUAAUGCAUAAUGUUCACAGAAAAAAAAGAAAAGAAAAAAAAAAGAAAAAAGUUCUCAUCACAUUUACAAGACUGCUGCUAAG